UUAUUUAUUUUCUUAGUUCUUACCAUUUUUAUUGACAUUUUUUACUUCUCUCAUUCUUUCUCAUUUAUGUGUUCAAUAUGAGUUUUAUUCUUUUUCGAGGGCUUAUAUUUUUUCUGUCUUAUGUUUUUUUAUGUUUCCAGUUUCAAAUUGUUGUAAAAGAGGACAUUUUUAAUGUGAAUAUUUUUUUUUUCUCAUUUGAAUUUUUAAUUAACUUUGCUUUCACAAAUAUGAUUCCUCUUUUCGUCUUGGUACUUGCAACUUUGAAAGGAUGUUUGCUCGUGUAUUGUGUUCGUGGGGAACAUGUUGCACUUAGAGGUAGUCAAAUUUUUUCAUUUUUUCAUUAACUACAUCAAGAUUGUCCAUGAAAGCUUCGUGUUAAUCAGCUUGAUUAUUGGUCGUGGUAAAGAACAACCCUAAGAAUACUUCAACGAUGAGUCUUUACUCAUUUUCUAUAAUUAUCCCUACGCCAUUUCCUUUGGAGUUGUAUGAUCCAUCGAUUAAGAUGAUCAAUUUGUAUGUCUUCUCUUCGGGAGAAGUGUUCAUUUGUGCUACGAAAUCUAUAAGCAUAUGCAUUGUUAGUGCCUUCUUAGCUUCAAACUUGAUGUAAAGCUCAAAUAACUUCAAGAACUAUUUCAUCAUUUGGCUUAUCACAUCUCAUCGAAAAAGGAUUUUCCUUAUCAGUUGGUCUAUUCACACUAUGAUUGUAUGUGCUAGGAAGUUACUUCGAAGUCUCCUAGCCUCCAAUACGAGGCGACCUUUUCAAUAAUCUGGUAAUGUAUUUCAAGCUUUUGUAAUGCUUUUCUCAUGAAGUACACACUAGUUUUUUUGUC